rnacentral:rRNA from 1 species
AGCGAACGCUGGCGGCAGGCCUAACACAUGCAAGUCGAACGAACUCUUCGGAGUUAGUGGCGGACGGGUGAGUAACACGUGGGAACGUGCCUUUAGGUUCGGAAUAACUCAGGGACACUUGUGCUAAUACCGAAUGUGCCCUUCGGGGGAAAGAUUUAUCGCCUUUAGAGCGGCCCGCGUCUGAUUAGCUUGUUGGCGGGGUAAUGGCCCACCAAGGCGACGAUCAGUAGCUGGUCUGAGAGGAUGACCAGCCACAUUGGGACUGAGACACGGCCCAAACUCCUACGGGAGGCAGCAGUGGGGAAUCUUGCGCAAUGGGCGAAAGCCUGACGCAGCCAUGCCGCGUGGAUGAUGAAGGUCUUAGGAUUGUAAAAUCCUUUCACCGGUGAAGAUAAUGACUGUAGCCGGAGAAGAAGCCCCGGCUAACUUCGUGCCAGCCGCCGCGGUAA